GCGAAUGGCUCAUUAAAUCAGCUAUGGUUUACUGGACCGUACCCGUUAAAUGGAUAACUGUAAUAACUCUAGAGCUAAUACAUGCAACUAUGCCCUGAACCGAAAGGCAAGGGGUGCACUUAUUAGAUCAGAAGCCAACCGGGUGUCGGUCGCAAGGCUGGCGCCUGUUGUCGUUCUGGUGACUCUGGAUAAUUGUUACAGAUCGCAGUCGGCCAUGAGUCGGCGACGGGUCCUUCAAAUGUCUGCCCUAUCAACUUUCGAUGGUAGGUGACCUGCCUACCAUGGUGAUAACGGGUAACGGGGAAUCAGGGUUCGAUUCCGGAGAGGGAGCCUGAGAAACGGCUACCACUUCCAAGGGAGGCAGCAGGCGCGCAAAUUACCCACUCCCAGCACGGGGAGGUGGUGACGAAAAAUACCGAUGCGGGACUCCCAAACGAGGCUCCGUAAUCGGAAUGAGUCGACUAUAAAUCCUUUAACGAGGAUCAAUUGGAGGGCAAGUCUGGUGCCAGCAGCCGCGGUAACUCCAGCUCCAAUAGCGUAUAUUAAAGUUGCUGCAGUUAAAAAGCUCGUAGUUGGAUCUCGGUAUUAUUGUUGCCUGCCGGCUUUAGAGGUGUCUGCUGGCCUAGCGGUGCAUGGGUGAGCCUGUGUGUCGUGGGGUUGGCGGCCUUGGGUCGGUGUGGCGGUGGUGAUACCUUUCAGCCAUGUCUGUGGUGAAAUAUCCACAGGUGUAGGCGAGUGCCAGGCGGUGCCCUGCAACUGUGGGGUUCGUCGGCUUGUCUGCAUGCCUAUGGAUGCCCUUUAAAAGGUGUCUGUGGGCGGAUGGCACGUUUACUUUGAACAAAUUUGAGUGCUCAAACCAGGCCGAUGUUGCCUGAAAAGUUUUGCAUGGAAUAAUGGAAUAGGACUUCGGUUCUAUUUCGUUGGUUUUCGGAUCCGAAGUAAUGAUCAAAAGAGACAGGCGGGGACGUUUGUAUGGCUGCGCUAGAGGUGAAAUUCUUGGACCGUAGCCAGACAAACUAAAGCGAAAGCAUUCGUCAAGCAUGUUUUCAUUGGCCAUGAGCGAAAGUCAGAGGCUCGAAGACGAUCAGAUACCGUCCUAGUUCUGACCAUAAACGAUGCCAACUGACGAUCCGUGAUGGUAGCAUUUAAACCUUCCUCACGGGCAGUCCCCGGGAAACCAUUAAGUCUUUGGGUUCCGGGGGAAGUAUGGUUGCAAAGCUGAAACUUAAAGGAAUUGACGGAAGGGCACCACCAGGAGUGGAGCCUGCGGCUUAAUUUGACUCAACACGGGAAAACUCACCCGGGCCGGACACUAUGAGGAUUGACAGAUUGAAAGCUCUUUCUUGAUUUGGUGGUUGGUGGUGCAUGGCCGUUCUUAGUUGGUGGAGCGAUUUGUCUGGUUAAUUCCGAUAACGAACGAGACUCCAGCCUGCUAAUUAGUUCUCCUGUCCACUGUACUUGUGCAGGCGGGCGCUUGCCAAAUCUGCCUUUCACGGUUGGCCCACUGGUGGUGUUGUUGUCGGCUGCGCGCUGGGUGCUGGCUCGAAAGGGACGGCGCUUGGUGUGUAUCUGCUGGCGAUGAUGCAUGUCCGGCGGGUUGGCUUGGGUGGAUAGAGCAGUGUCUGCUUCCGAGUACGGCGCGGGUGUCUACUUCUUAGAGGGACAAGCGGGAGAAGCCGCACGAAAUUGAGCAAUAACAGGUCUGUGAUGCCCUUAGAUGUCCGGGGCCGCACGCGCGCUACAAUGACGGUGGCAACGAGUCUGACUUUCUGGCCCGAAAGGGUUGGGUAAACUGGUCAAUCACCGUCAUGACAGGGAUCGGGGCUUGGAAUUGUUCCCCGUGAACGAGGAAUUCCUAGUAAGUGCAAGUCAUAAGCUUGCGCUGAUUACGUCCCUGCCCUUUGUACACACCGCCCGUCGCUACUACCGAUUGAAUGGUUUAGUAAGGUCCUUGGAUUGGCGCCAUUGCAGCCGCAGGGCUCAGACGGUGCUGAGAAGACGACCGAACUUGAUCAUUUAGAGGAAGUAAAAGUCGUAACAAG
rnacentral:rRNA from 1 species